rnacentral:tRNA from 1 species
GCCUUCCAUCCAGUUGGUAAGAUGGCCGAGUUGGUCCAAGGCGCCAGGUUAAGGUAUACCUUAACUCCACAACUAGCAAUAGUUUCCUGGUCUCGAAAGGGGCGUGGGUUCGAAUCCCACUCUUAUCAA